GCUGGCAGCCUUACUGGUUACUCUGUAAAUGAAUCAGAGCAGCACUCCAAAAUGUGACAUACAUUGCCACCAAAAUACAUGGAAACCCAGCAGGCCUUCAAACUUGAACUGAAACUAUACCACUAGGACUGCUAGCUCUCCAGCUUACAGACAGAAGAUCAUGGGACUUCUCAGCUUCAAUAAUCCAAGCACAGUUCUCUGGCAAAUGGUCUAGGACCCUUUGUGGAAG